rnacentral:rRNA from 1 species
GACGAACGCUGGCGGCGUGCUUAACACAUGCAAGUCGAACGGAAAGGCCCUGCUUUUGUGGGGUGCUCGAGUGGCGAAAGGGUGAGUAACACGUGAGUAACCUGCCCUUGACUUUGGGAUAACUUCAGGAAACUGGGGCUAAUACCGGAUAGGAGCUCCUGCUGCAUGGUGGGGGUUGGAAAGUUUCGGCGGUUGGGGAUGGACUCGCGGCUUAUCAGCUUGUUGGUGGGGUAGUGGCUUACCAAGGCUUUGACGGGUAGCCGGCCUGAGAGGGUGACCGGCCACAUUGGGACUGAGAUACGACCCGGAGUCCUACGGGAGGCAGCAGUGGGGAAUAUUGCACAAUGGGCGGAAGCCUGAUGCAGCAACGCCGCGUGCGGGAUGAUGGCCUUCGGGUUGUAAACCGCUUUCGCCUGUGACGAAGCGUGAGUGACGGUAAUGUGUAAAGAAGCACCGGCUAACUACGUG